AUGAACGCUAGCGGCAGGCCUAACACAUGCAAGUCGAGGGGUAGAACACUUCGGUGUUUGAGACCGGCGCACGGGUGCGUAACGCGUAUGCAAUCUACCUUGUACAGGGGAAUAGCCCAGAGAAAUUUGGAUUAAUGCCCCAUAGUAUAUAACCUUCGCAUGUUGGUUAUAUUAAAGUUCCAACGGUACAAGAUGAGCAUGCGUCCCAUUAGUUAGUUGGUAAGGUAACGGCUUACCAAGACGAUGAUGGGUAGGGGUCCUGAGAGGGAGAUCCCCCACACUGGUACUGAGACACGGACCAGACUCCUACGGGAGGCAGCAGUGAGGAAUAUUGGUCAAUGGGCGCAAGCCUGAACCAGCCAUGCCGCGUGCAGGAAGACGGUCCUAUGGAUUGUAAACUGCUUUUAUACAGGAAGAAACCCUCCCACGUGUGGGAGAUUGACGGUACUGUAGGAAUAAGGAUCGGCUAACUCCGU
rnacentral:rRNA from 1 species